rnacentral:tRNA from 2 species
GCGGCUGUAGUCCAGCGGUAGGACAGGGGCUUCCCAAGCCUCUAACCCGGGUUCGAAUCCCGGCAGCCGCA